AAAGCUUCCAAAUACAUUCUCUUUUUUUUUUUUUAACAUUUAUUUACUUUUGAGAGACAGAGUAUGAGCAGGGGAGGGGCAGAGAGAUAGGGAGACACAGAAUUCGAAGUAGGCUCCAGGCUCCAAGCUGUCAGCACAGAGCCUGAUGUGGGCUCAAACCCACAAACUAGGAGAUUGUGACCUGAGCUGAAGUCGGAUGCUUAACUGACUGAGCCACCCAGGCGCCCAUCCAAAUACAUUCUAUGAGGCCAGUAUUACCCUGAUACCAAAACCAGACAAAGAUACUACAAAGAAAGAAAACUACAGGCCAAUAUAGUGGCCUUGGUGAAAAUAGAUACAAAAAUCCUCAAUAAAAUAUUAGGAAACCCUUUCCAACAAUAUAUUAAAAGGAUCAUUCACCAUGAUCAAGUGGGAUUUAUUUUAGGGAUGCAAGAAUCGUUCAGUAUUCACAAAUCAAUCAAUGUGAUACACUACAUUAACAAAAUGAAGUAUAAAAUCAUAUGAUCAUCUCAAUAGAUGCAGAAAAAGCAUUUGACAAAAUUCAACAUUUGUUCAUGAUAAAAACUUUGAACAAAGUGGGUUUAGAAGGAACAAAACUCAACUUAAUAAAGGCCGUAUAUGACGAACCCACAGCUAACAUUAUACUCAAUGGUAAAAAACUGAUAGUUUUUCCUCUAAGAUCAGGAACAAACAAGGAUGUUCACUCUUGCCACUUUUGUUCAACAUAGUAAUGGAAGUCCUAGCUGCAACAAGCAGAUAAGAAAAAGAAAUGAAAGCCAUUUAUAUUGGUAAGAAGUCAAACUGUCACUAUUUGUAGAUGAUGUGAUACACAUAGAAAACCCUGAAGACUCCACCUAAAAACUAUUAGACUAUUAGAACUAAUAAAUAAUGCAGUAAAGUUACAAGAUACAAAAUUAAUGUACAGAAAUUGAUUGUGUUUUAUACAUUAAUAAAAAAAGUAGCAGAAAGAUAAAUUAAGAAAACAAUUCCAUUUACAAUUGCACCAAAGAAUGAACUAAUUAGGAAUAAACUUAAUCAAGGAGGAAAAAGACUUGUAAUUUGUAAACUAUAUAACAUUGAUGAAAGGAAUUGAAAAUGACACAAACAAAUGGAAAGACAUGCCAUGCUCAUGGAUUGGAAUAGUUAAUAUUCAAAUAACAACAGCAUUUUUCACAGAACUAGAACAAAAAAUCCUAAAAUUUGUAUGGAACCACAAAAGAUCCCAAACAACCAAAGCAAUCUUGAGAAAAAAGAAUGAAGCUGAAGGUUUCAUAGUCUCAGAUUUCAAGAUAUACUACAAAGCUAUAAAACUCAAAACAGUGUGGUACUGGCAUAAAAACAGACACGCUAAUUAAUAGAAUAGAAAGCCUGGACAUAACUCCAUGCUUAUAUGGUCAAUUAGUAUACGACAAAGGAGGCAAGAAUAUACAAUGGAGGAAAAGACAGUUUCUUCAAUAAAUAGUGCUUGGAAAACUUGACAGCUACAUGCAGAAGAAUGAGACUGGACCACUUUUUUUAUGCCAUACACAGAAAUAAACUCAAAGUUGAAUAAAAACCUAAAUGUGUGACCUGAAGCCAUACAACUUCUAGAAGAAAACAUAGAAAGUAAUCUCUUACAGAUUAGCCUUAGCAAUAUUCUUUUAGCUAUGUCUCCUUAGGCAAGAGAAACAAAAGCAAAAAACCAGAAAAUAAAAAGACGCUAUUGAGACUACACCAAAAUAAAAAAGCUUUUGCAGAGUGAAGGAAACUAUCGACAAAAUGAAAAGGCGACCUGGGGCACCUGGGUGGCUCAGUAGGUUAAGCAUCUGACUUUGGCUCAGGUCAUGAUCUCACAGUUCAUGAGUUUGAGCUCUGCAUCAGGCUCUGUGCUGACAGCACAGAGCCUGGUAUCAUCCGUCACCUGCUCUCUCUGCCCCUCCCCCGCUCAUAUGCUCCCUCUCUCUCUCUCUGUCUCUCAAAAUAAAUAAACUUAAAAAAAGAAAGAAAGAAAACGCAACCUACUGAAUGAGAGAAGAUAUUCACAAAUGAUAUCUCCCAUAAGGGAUUAUUAUCUACAAUAUAUAAAAAACUUAUACAACUCAACACCAAAACAAAAAAACAAAACAAAACAAAAUUAAUCUGAUUAAAAAAUGGGCAGAAGACCUGAAUAGACUUUUUCCAAAGUCAUACAGAUACCCAACAGGUAUGUGAAAAGAUGCCCAACAUCAAUAAAUCAUCAGGUAAAUGCAAAGUGAAAACCACAAUGAGAUAUUACAUUACACCUGUCAGAAUCAAAAAGUGAAAGAAUGAAUAAAUGAAUGAAUGAAUGAAUUGAAAAAAAUAACAAGUGUUGGAAGGAUAUAGAGGCAAGUGAACCCUCAUGUAGUGUUUGUGGGAAUGUAAAUUGAUGAAACCAUUGUGGAGAACAAUGGUUGUUCUCUAUUUGAGGUUGCUCAAAUAUUAAAAAUAGAACUGCCAUGUGAUGCAGUAAUUCCACGAAUGGGUAUUUACCUAAAGAAGUGAAAUCAGUACUUUGAAAAGAUACAUGCAUCCCUAUGUUUAAUUCAGCAUUAUUUACAAUAGUCAAGAUAUGAGAGCAACCCAAGUGUCCAUCAAUAGUUGAAUAGAUAAAGAAGAGGUGGUAUAUACACAAUGGAAUAUUACUCGGUCUUGAAAUCUUGAUAUUCAUAACAACAUGGGUGGAUCUAGAGGGUAUGAUACUAAGUAAAAUAAAUCAGUGAAAGACAAACCAUAUGAUUUCAUUACACGUGAAAUCUAAAAAACAAAACAAAUUAACAAGCAAAGCAGAAACAGACCCAUAAAUACAGAGACAAGUUGGUGAUUGCCAGAGGGGAGGAGAGUAGGAUAGGCAAAAUGGGUGAGGGGGAUUAGGAGGUACAGGUUUCCAGUUAUGGAAUGAGUAAGUCAUAGGGAUAAGAAGUACAGCAUAGGGGAUAUAGUCAGUGAUAUUUUAAUAGUCUUGUAUGGUGACAGAUGGUAGCUGCACUCAUGGGGAGCAUAGUACAUAGAGUUGUGGAACCAAUAUGUUGUACACCUGAAACUUAUGUAACAUUAUGUGUCAACUAUACCUCAAUAAAAAAAAUAGAAUUUGUAAAUAAGAAGAAAAAUAAAUAAAAUUAACUGCUACUAAGAAAACAACAAAGGUUCACACCUUAGGAUAGUUUUUCUUGAAACAUUUUCCAAAACAUCACAAUUCCUAAAUUGAGAACCAUAGUGUAAAUCCAGAGAGAAAUUCUACCUCAAAUUUGACUAAAUAUCUAGAAGCAAUGAUUUUCUCUUUGUUCACACUCGUGUAGGGCUUUUUCAAUUUAGAUGUCAUUAACAUUCAGAUUUUAAAUUUGAUAGACAUAAGCUAUAAAGACAGCCCGCCUGUAGAGAUGACCAAAAUGGGAUUCUUACUGCACACACUCAUUCCAGAACACUAGAGAAUUUCAGCUUGUUCUCAAAGAAUACCAAAAUAGUCUGAAAGAAAGAAAGGAAGAAAGGAAGAAAGAAAAAAAGAAAGAAAGAAAGAAAGAAAGAAAGAAAGAAAGAAAGAAAGAAAGAAAGAAAGAAAGAAAGAAAGAAAGGCUCUUAAGCUCUCCUAAGCACAUAAUCAGAUCUUUCCGUCUCUUAUGGGGACUAUUGUUUGGGUAAAAGAAUAAUGGUAGGAGGAAACAUAAAUUCAAGGAAGGUCGAAUUCCCACAAGGAGAAUAAAUGAAUCAAUGGCAUCACAUUUCAAAGAAAUUUUAAUAAGUAUCACCAAAACUGCCUCCAGAAGGAAAUACCUGUUUAUAUUCUCAACAAUAUAUGAAUGACUGGUUUUCUAACCCUUAUCAUUACUGGAAGAUUUUGGUAGAAAAACUUUAUACUUGUGUUUUUUUAUUGUGGUAAAAUGUAUACAACAUACAAUUCACCAUUUUAACCACUUCUUAAAAAGAUUUUUUAAUGUUUUUAAUUUAUUUUAGGGGGGGUGGGAAGGGGCAGAAAGAGAGGGAGAGAGGGAUAUCCCAAGCAGGCUCUGUGCUGUCAGUGCAGACCCCAACAUGGGGCUUGAAUCCACAAACCGUGAGAUCAUGACUUGAGCUGAAUCAAGAGUUGGAGGUUUAACUGACUGAACCCCCAAACACCCCUACCAUUUCAACCACUUUUAAGUACACAAUUCAGGAGCAUUAAAUAUAUUCGUAACAUGCAACCAUCACCACUAUUUCCAGAACUUUUCAUCAUCCCAAACAGAUAUCAAACCUGUUAAACAAAAACUUAAAAAUAUAUAUUAAAAUAUAUUACCAGGUGCAUGGGUGGGCUCAGUCAGUUAAGCUUCUGACUUCAGCUCAGGUCAUGAUCUGUUUGUGAGUUUGAGCCCUGCAUUGGGCUCUGUGCUGACAGCUCAGAGCCUGGAGCUGCUUCGGAUUCUGCAUCUCUCUCUCCCCUUUCUCUGUCCCUA